AGAGUUUGAUCCUGGCUCAGGACGAACGCUGGCGGCGUGCUUAACACAUGCAAGUCGAACGAUGAAGCCUAGCUUGCUAGGUGGAUUAGUGGCGAACCGGGUGAGUAAUACGUGAGUGACCUACCUUUGACUCUGGGAUAAGCCUGGGAAACUGGGUCUAAUACCGGAUACGACCAAUCUCCGCAUGGGGUGUUGGUGGAAAGCGUUAUGGAGUGGUUUUAGAUGGGCUCACGGCCUAUCAGCUUGUUGGUGAGGUAAUGGCUUACCAAGGCGACGACGGGUAGCCGGCCUGAGAGGGUGACCGGCCACACUGGGACUGAGACACGGUCCAGACUCCUACGGGAGGCAGCAGUAGGGAAUCUUCCGCAAUGGGCGAAAGCCUGACGGAGCAACGCCGCGUGAGUGAUGAAGGUCUUCGGAUCGUAAAACUCUGUUAUUAGGGAAGAACAUAUGUGUAAGUAACUGUGCACAUCUUGACGGUACCUAAUCAGAAAGCCACGGCUAACUACGUGCCAGCAGCCGCGGUAAUACGUAGGUGGCAAGCGUUAUCCGGAAUUAUUGGGCGUAAAGCGCGCGUAGGCGGUUUUUUAAGUCUGAUGUGAAAGCCCACGGCUCAACCGUGGAGGGUCAUUGGAUACUGGAAAACUUGAGUGCAGAAGAGGAAAGUGGAAUUCCAUGUGUAGCGGUGAAAUGCGCAGAGAUAUGGAGGAACACCAGUGGCGAAGGCGACUUUCUGGUCUGUAACUGACGCUGAUGUGCGAAAGCGUGGGGAUCAAACAGGAUUAGAUACCCUGGUAGUCCACGCCGUAAACGAUGAGUGCUAAGUGUUAGGGGGUUUCCGCCCCUUAGUGCUGCAGCUAACGCAUUAAGCACUCCGCCUGGGGAGUACGACCGCAAGGUUGAAACUCAAAGGAAUUGACGGG
rnacentral:rRNA from 1 species